UACAGGGGGAGUAAGACCAGGGAAACUUAGGUCGUAAUAAUCCCACUAGGAAAGUAAGAUAAGGCGAUCUUGUUUAUUUUUAAAGUACUUCGGUGGUAUAGGAGUUGGCGUCGCGUGACAUUAGCUAGAUGGAGGGGUAACGGCCCACCAUGGCAAUGAUGUCUAGGGGUUCUGAGAGGAAGAUCCCCCACACUGGGACUGAGACACGGCCCAGACUCCUACGGGAGGCAGCAGUGAGGAAUAUUGGACAAUGGAUGGAAAUCUGAUCCAGCCAUGCCGCGUGCAGGAAGAACCGGCCCUAUGGGUUGUAAACUGCUUUUAUACGGGAGCUAUAAGGUCUAUGCAUAGAUUGAUGAGAGUACCGUAUGAAUAAGCAUCGGCUAACUCCGUGCCAGCCGCAGC
rnacentral:rRNA from 1 species